rnacentral:rRNA from 1 species
GACGAACGCUGGCGGCGUGCUUAACACAUGCAAGUCGAGCGGUAAGGCCCUUUCGGGGGUACACGAGCGGCGAACGGGUGAGUAACACGUGGGUGACCUGCCCUUAGCUCUGGGAUAAGCCUGGGAAACUGGGUCUAAUACCGGAUAUGACUCCAUGACGCAUGUUGUGGGGUGGAAAGCCUUGUGCGGCUAGGGAUGGGCCUGCGGCCUAUCAGCUUGUUGGUGGGGUGAUGGCCUACCAAGGCGACGACGGGUAGCCGGCCUGAGAGGGCGACCGGCCACACUGGGACUGAGACACGGCCCAGUCUCCUACGGGAGGCAGCAGUGGGGAAUCUUGCGCAAUGGGCGAAAGCCUGACGCAGCGACGCCGCGU